rnacentral:lncRNA from 1 species
UAUAGUAAAUUCAAUUGAAGUGUAAACCUCAACCAAAGUACAGCAAAGAUUAGAAAACAGAGGGAGCAAACUGCACACCAGGCACAUCAGGCAAACCUCAAAGAUUCCCUAAGAACGAUUGCAAGUUCAUACCUUCUCUAAAUCUUAUACUCAUAGCAAGAAUAGGAAAAAUGUUGGAAUGUUGUAACAUUCUAAAGUUCAAUUGAUGAAUUCUAUAGAAAUAAGCAAAGCUUCUAAAAUAAACUUAACUGAAAAUUGUCAUGCAACCCAAUAUACCCAUUCUAUAUAGAGAAAGGAAAAAAAAAAUAAUCAUAUUUGCAUUUCACAAUAUAAACUAAGACUAAAAAGAUAACAAAAUAAAU